GUAGGCUGCAACUCGCCUACAUGGAGUCGGAAUCGCUAGUAAUCGCGGAUCAGCAUGCCGCGGUGAAUACGUUCCCGGGCCUUGUACACACCGCCCGUCACACCAUGAGAGUUUGUAACACCCAAAGCCGGUGGGGUAACCUUUUGGAGCCAGCCGUCUAAGGUGGGACAGAUGAUUGGGGUGAAGUCGUAACAAGGUAAC
rnacentral:rRNA from 1 species